rnacentral:hammerhead_ribozyme from 1 species
GCACUGGUGAGGAGUCCCACAAUAGGACGAAACGGCCGUUCAAUGC